UACGUAGGGGGCAAGCGUUGUCCGGAAUUAUUGGGCGUAAAGCGCGUGUAGGCGGCUCGGUAAGUCUGCUGUGAAAGCCCAGGGCUCAACCCUGGGAUGCCGGUGGAUACUGUCGAGCUCGAGUCCGGAAGAGGCGAGUGGAAUUCCUGGUGUAGCGGUGAAAUGCGCAGAUAUCAGGAGGAACACCAAUGGCGAAGGCAGCUCGCUGGGACGUGACUGACGCUGAGACGCGAAAGCGUGGGGAGCAAACAGG
rnacentral:rRNA from 1 species